rnacentral:rRNA from 1 species
GACGUAGGACGCAAGCGUUAUCCGGAGUUACUGGGCGUAAAGGGCGAGUAGGCGGGAUACUAAGUUUGCUAUGAAAGCGCCGGGCUCAACCCGGCGAGGCUGGCAAAGACUGGUGUUCUUGAGGUCAGCAGAGGGUGGUAGAAUUCCGCGUGUAGUGGUGAAAUGCGUAGAGAUGCGGAGGAAUACCAGAGGCGAAGGCGGCCACCUGGGCUGAAACUGACGCUGAGACGCGACAGCGUGGGGAGCGAACGGG